rnacentral:rRNA from 1 species
ACCUGACCUCGGAUCAGACGUGAUUACCCGCUGAACUUAAGCAUAUCACUAAGCGGAGGAAGAGAAACUAACCAGGAUUCCCUUAGUAACGGCGAGUGAAGAGGGAAAAGCCCAGCACCGAAGCCUGUGGUCAUUUGACCCCUAGGCAAUGUGGUGUUUAGGUCAGCCCGCGGAGAUACUGCUCCACCCUAAGUCCUAUAAUGAGUAAGGUUACUCGGACGUGGCCCAAUGAGGGUGAAAGGCCCGUGGGGGUGGAGACUCAGAUUGGCCAG